AUGAUCACAGAUAAUAGUUUUGAUUUACUCUGCUUGACUGAAACCUGGCUAAAACCAAAUGAUUAUUUUGGUCUAAAUGAGUCUACUCCACCAAACUACUGUUAUAAGCAUGAGCCCCGUCAGACUGGUCGUGGCAGGGGUGUUGCAACAAUAUAUAGUGAUAUUCUCAAUGUUACCCAGAAAACAGGAUGCAGGUUUAACUCUUUUGAAAUACUUCUGCUAAAUGUUACACUGUCAGACAUGCAAAAGAAAUCUAAUGUAUCUCUUGCUCUGGCUACUGUGUAUAGACCACCAGGGCCGUAUACAGAAUUCCUAAAAGAAUUUGCAGAACUCCUCUCAGACCUUCUAGUUACAGUUGAUAAGGCGCUAAUCAUGGGAGAUUUUAAUAUUCACGUUGAUAAUGCAAAUGAUACAUUAGGACUUGCGUUUACUGACCUAAUAAACUCCUUUGGAGUCAAGCAAAAUGUCACCGGGCCCACUCAUCGUUUUAAUCAUACACUAGAUUUAAUUAUAUCGCAUGGAAUCGAUCUUACUGCUAUAGAUAUUGUACCUCAAGGUGAUGAUAUUACAGACCAUUUCCUUGUAUCGUGCAUGCUGCGUAUAACUGAUAUUAACUAUAUGUCUCAGCGUUACCGUCUGGGCAGAACUAUUGUUCCAGCCACCAAAGAAAGAUUCGCAAAUAACCUGCCUGAUCUAUCUCAACUGCUAUUUGUACCCAAAAAUACACAUGAAUUAGAUGAAAUUACUGACAACAUGGGCACUAUUUUCUCUAAUACAUUAGAAGCUGUUGCCCCAAUCAAAUUGAAAAAAGUUAGAGAAAAACGUACUGUACCAUGGUAUAACAGUAAUACUCACUCUCUCAAGAAAGUAACUCGUAGUCUUGAACGCAAAUGGAGAAAAACUAACUUAGAAGUUUUUAGAAUUGCAUGGAAAAACAGUAUGUCCAGCUAUAGACAGGCUCUAAAAACUGCUAGGGCAGAGCAUAUACACAAACUCAUUGAAAAUAACCAAAACAAUCCAAGGUUUUUAUUUAGCACAGUGGCUAAGUUAACAAAUUACCAGACGCCACCUGAUUCAAAUAUUCCACCAACAUUAAAUAGUAAUGACUUUAUGAAUUUCUUCACUGAUAAAAUAGAUAACAUUAGAAAUACAAUAGCGAAUGUAGAUUCUACAACAUCUAACACUUCAGUUUUAUCCAUCGCACCCAAAGAUAAACUGCAAUGCUUUACAACCAUAGGACAGGAAGAGCUAAAUAAACUUAUCACUGUAUCUAAACCAACAACAUGUUUAUUAGAUCCUGUACCCACUAAAUUACUGAAAGAGCUGUUACCUGUAGCCGAAGAACCGCUUCUCAAUAUCAUAAACUCGUCGUUAUCUUUAGGACACGUCCCAAAACCAUUCAAGCUGGCGGUUAUCAAGCCUCUUAUUAAGAAACCAAAACUAGAUCCUAGUGUACUGGCAAAUUAUAGGCCUAUUUCAAAUCUUCCAUUUAUGUCUAAAAUUUUAGAAAAAGUUGUGUCUGCUCAAUUGAGCACCUUCCUGCAUAAAAAUGAUCUGUAUGAAGAAUUUCAGUCAGGUUUAAGGCCCCACCAUAGCACAGAAACUGCACUUGUUAAAAUUACAAAUGACCUGCUCCUUGCGUCAGACCAAGGCUGCAUCUCAUUUCUAGUCUUACUUGAUCUUAGUGCUGCGUUCAACACCAUAGAACAGUGGUCCUCAAAUCUGGCUCGCGAGAUCCAGUUUCCUGCAGAGUUUAGCUCCGACUCUAAUUAA
ensembl:lncRNA